AGAUGUGUGGGCAAUUUGGCCGAGACAUCUGUUACCCUAUUGAUCACCAGUGUUGAUUCGGCUGAUGUGGCUAACUAGGUGGGUAUUCCCUUCCUCCCUCCAUGUGCCUCCCUCCUGAAGCUGCAUGCUCCAUCAAAGAGCACAGCCUUCCUCCAAAUACACAGAAGCAGUCUUCGGUAAGGGUGGAGUAGCUUUUCUCCCUUGCUAGAUCCUCUAAUCGAGCUCUCAAGAAAACAAUGGUAAAGGAUGUUCAAAGCAGUUUGGGUUUUACAACUAUGGACAAAGUAAGGAGAGACGCUAACUCU
rnacentral:snRNA from 1 species